AGGGUUUGAUUAUGGCUCAGGACGAACGCUGGCGGCGUGCUUAACACAUGCAAGUCGAACGGUGAAAGCGGAGCUUGCUCCGCUGGAUCAGUGGCGAACGGGUGAAUAACACGUGGGCAACCUGCCCCAGACUUCGGGAUAACUCUUCGAAAGAGGCGCUAAUACCGGAUAUGAACUCUGCAGGCAUCUGCGGAGUUGGAAAGUUUUUCGGUCUGGGAUGGGCCCGCGGCCUAUCAGCUAGUUGGUGAGGUAGUGGCUCACCAAGGCGACGACGGGUAGCCGGCCUGAGAGGGCGACCGGCCACACUGGGACUGAGACACGGCCCAGACUCCUACGGGAGGCAGCAGUGGGGAAUAUUGCGCAAUGGGCGAAAGCCUGACGCAGCAACGCCGCGUGCGGGAUGAAGGCCUUCGGGUUGUAAACCGCUUUCAGCAGGGAAGAAGCGAAAGUGACGGUACCUGCAGAAGAAGCACCGGCUAACUACGUGCCAGCAGCCGCGGUAAUUC
rnacentral:rRNA from 1 species